AGUGAACGCUGGCGGUAGGCCUAACACAUGCAAGUCGAACGGCAGCACAGUAAGAGCUUGCUCUUACGGGUGGCGAGUGGCGGACGGGUGAGGAAUACAUCGGAAUCUACUUUUUCGUGGGGGAUAACGUAGGGAAAUUUACGCUAAUACCGCAUACGACCUACGGGUGAAAGCAGGGGAUCUUCGGACCUUGCGCGAUUGAAUGAGCCGAUGUCGGAUUAGCCAGUUGGCGGGGUAAAGGCCCACCAAGGCGACGAUCCGUAGCUGGUCUGAGAGGAUGAUCAGCCACACUGGAACUGAGACACGGUCCAGACUCCUACGGGAGGCAGCAGUGGGGAAUAUUGGACAAUGGGCGCAAGCCUGAUCCAGCCAUGCCGCGUGGGUGAAGAAGGCCUUCGGGUUGUAAAGCCCUUUUGUUGGGAAAGAAAAGCAGCAGGUUAAUACCCCGCUGUUCUGACGGUACCCAAAGAAUAAGCACCGGCUAACUUCGUG
rnacentral:rRNA from 1 species